AAUCCAUAGGUUAAUGAGGCGAACCGGGGGAACUGAAACAUCUAAGUACCCCGAGGAAAAGAAAUCAACCGAGAUUCCCCCAGUAGCGGCGAGCGAACGGGGAGGAGCCCAGAGCCUGAAUCAGCAUGUGUGUUAGUGGAAGCGUCUGGAAAGGCGCGCGAUACAGGGUGACAGCCCCGUACACAAAAGCGCAUGUGCUGUGAGCUCGAUGAGUAGGGCGGGACACGUGGUAUCCUGUCUGAAUAUGGGGGGACCAUCCUCCAAGGCUAAAUACUCCUGACUGACCGAUAGUGAACCAGUACCGUGAGGGAAAGGCGAAAAGAACCCCGGCGAGGGGAGUGAAAAAGAACCUGAAACCGUGUACGUACAAGCAGUGGGAGCCCCACCACUAAGCCAGUGGUGAACUCCACAUACGCAUCCUUUGCUGAGGAUACGGUUAACGGAGCGAAAGCGACGUUCAACCUCAAAAGAAGCAGAGGGGGCUUAGUGGUGGGGUGACUGCGUACCUUUUGUAUAAUGGGUCAGCGACUUAUAUUCUGUAGCAAGGUUAACCGUAUAGGGGAGCCGUAGGGAAACCGAGUCUUAACCGGGCGUUAAGUUGCAGGGUAUAGACCCGAAACCCGGUGAUCUAGCCAUGGGCAGGUUGAAGGUUGGGUAACACUAACUGGAGGACCGAACCGACUAAUGUUGAAAAAUUAGCGGAUGACCUGUGGCUGGGGGUGAAAGGCCAAUCAAACCGGGAGAUAGCUGGUUCUCCCCGAAAGCUAUUUAGGUAGCGCCUCGUGAAUUCAUCUCCGGGGGUAGAGCACUGUUUCGGCUAGGGGGCCAUCCCGGCUUACCAACCCGAUGCAAACUGCGAAUACCGGAGAAUGUUAUCACGGGAGACACACGGCGGGUGCUAACGUCCGUCGUGAAGAGGGAAACAACCCAGACCGCCAGCUAAGGUCCCAAAGUCAUGGUUAAGUGGGAAACGAUGUGGGAAGGCCCAGACAGCCAGGAUGUUGGCUUAGAAGCAGCCAUCAUUUAAAGAAAGCGUAAUAGCUCACUGGUCGAGUCGGCCUGCGCGGAAGAUGUAACGGGGCUAAACCAU
rnacentral:rRNA from 1 species